AGAUAUAUCAAAAACGAGUUUUUCACGUAAUUGUUCGAUUCCGACACCGCAACAGAAGAGAAACCCUAGACGCAAAAUUGUUAAUCCUCCUCUACUCAUCAAUCGGAAUUCCUUUUCAAUUCACUAUGGACGCUCAGAGAGCUCUCCUCGACGAACUCAUGGGUUCAGCUCGAAACUUGACGGAGGAAGAGAGAAGGGGUUACAAGGAAGUGAGCUGGGACGACAGAGAAGUUUGUGGAUUCUAUAUGGUCAGGUUUUGUCCUCACGAUCUCUUCGUCAACACGCGUAGUGAUCUUGGACCUUGCCCCAAAAUACAUGACCCCAAGUUGAAAGAAAGUUUUGAAAAUUCCCCAAGACAUGAUGCGUACGUACCCAAAUUUGAAGCCGAACUUUCUCAAUUUUGUGAGAAAUUGGUGAUGGACCUGGAUAAAAGAGUAAAGCGUGGCCGCGAACGUCUUAAUCAAGAGGUGGAGCUACCACCACCGCCACCACUGACAGCUGAAAAAUCUCAACAGCUCUCUGUGCUCGAGGAGAAAAUAAAGAACCUUCUGGAACAAGUUGAAUCUCUUGGUGAAGCUGGGAAGGUUGAUGAAGCUGAAGCUCUAAUGCGAAAGGUGGAGAUACUUAAUACUGAGAAGGCAGUCUUAACACAGCCUCAAAAUGAAAAAGUGUUAAUGCUUCAGGAGAAGAAAAUGGCACUCUGUGAGGUUUGCGGUUCUUUUCUUGUAGCAAAUGAUGCUGCAGAAAGAACUCAGUCUCAUGUCGCAGGAAAGCAGCAUGUUGGCUAUGGCAUGGUUCGUGAUUUCAUAAAUGAAUACAAAACUGCUAAGGAAAAGGCUCAUGAAGAAGAAAGAUUGGCUCGGGAAAAAGAGGUAGAAGAGCGAAGAAAACAAAAGGAGAAGGAUAAUGAGAGAAAAAGACCAAGUGAUUCAAGUGACAGGGAGAAAUAUCGUGAUAAAGAUCGAGACAGGGAGCGUGAUCGGUACAGAGAUAGAGACUCGGAACGUGAAAGAUCUCGGGAAUAUGAAGUUAGAGGUAAUCGAGAUCGGGGAAGGGGGAUGGAUUCUAGGUCGAGGAAUGGAAAAAAUGGGGGUAGAGACAGGUAUCACAAUCGGAGCAGAUCACGUUCGCCUAUAAGGCAUAAUUACAGAAGGUCUUGAAGUCCAGAUUGCUCCAAGUAAUGGAAUUUCUCGAUAGAUGUCAGAAUUUGAAUUUAAAAGAGGUAGACCUUAAUAUCCUGAGACUUUCAUCAAUAUGUUCUUUUGGAGUCUUAAUUUUUCUCAUCAUCAAGGGUGAAUUUACCUUUUUCCCAUCUCAGAGCUUUCCUGAGAAUAUACAAUCUCCUUUUCAUCAAUAUUAUUAGUGGAGAAAAGGGUCGAGUCUUUCUUUACCUGCAUUUUCUGGAAAUCAUUUGAUUGAGUAAAGAUGUCAGACACAAAAUUACAUGAGUGCUUGUCAUUGCUGCAAAAGUGGAUGGUUUACUCUUGUUUUGAGGUAACAUGUGAAUCUUUUCACCUUGAGACAAAUAAAUUGGUAUUUGUUCAUAGAAAUGUAUUUGUUUGCCCUUUUCGUCUGUUUCAUUACUUGUUUCUUAAGUUGAUAUAAACCAGCACAGGUUUAUAAAUGCUCUGCUUAUUCUGA